rnacentral:rRNA from 1 species
GACGAACGCUGGCGGCGUGCUUAACACAUGCAAGUCGAACGGCAAGGCCCUGCUUUUGUGGGGUGCUCGAGUGGCGAACGGGUGGGUAACACGUGAGUAACCUGCCCUUGACUUUGGGAUAACUUCAGGAAACUGGGGCUAAUACCGGAUAGUAGCUCCUGCUGCAUGGUGGGGGUUGGAAAGUUUCGGCGGGUGGGGAUGGACUCGCGGCUUAUCAGCUUGUUGGUGGGGUAGUGGCUUACCAAGGCUCUGACGGGUAGCCGGCCUGAGAGGGUGAACGGCGACAUUGGGACUGCGAGACGGCCCAGACUGCUACGGGAGGCAGAAGUGGGGAAUAUUGCACAAUGGGCGGAAGCCUGAUGCAGCAGCGCCGCGUGCGGGAUGACGGCCUUCGGGUUGUAAACCGCUUUCGCCUGUGACGAAGCGUGAGUGACGGUAAUGGGUAAAGAAGCACCGGCUAACUACGUG